GCCAGAGGUGGCCGGGCUAUGCCUUCUGGGCUCUGGUGAGUCUCCUCUCCCCCAUGGGGCGCUUCGGCGAGAUGGGGAGGGUGCAUGGGGGGCUGCUCAGCUCAUGCAGCGGGGACCCCAGCCAGGGAGCAGAUCUUCUGCCCCUUCCUCUCUGCAAAGCCAGGGAGGGGGCGAGUUUGUAGGAGGUCCUUUGGGGAGGCGUCUUUGCGUUAGGAAAAAAUGGGAAUGCAAAUGAACCCCAUUUAGAUUGCGGAGUUGGUCACAUUCAUUAACGGAGGUCACAGCGAUUCACAGAGGUCUUAGCCAGAUGGCAACAUUUGGACGUAGAAAUAAUACUUGGCCUAUGGGAUAAGCGAAUAAAAAUGCUGGACAGGUCUUGCCAGAUAGAAGAAAGUCCUUUCAUCACGCAGUGCGUAGUUAAACCGAUGGCACUCCCUCCCACAGGAAGCAGGGAUGGUCACCAACCUAGGCGGCUUUAAAAAAAGGUUGUGGCCAAUUCUUUUUGUUCUAUUUAAAAAUCCUUUUAUCCAGCUUAAAUCUCUCUGCCAGCUGUAAUUGAGAAAACCACUGGAACAUUCAACAUUGCAUAGCCAACAUUCAAGAGCCCUUGUGGUUGUCCUUAGAUUAAUUGUCAUUUUUCCUCUUCUAUUGCCUAUGAAACAAUAUAAAGUGUUGGUCUGUUGAUGAACGGGGAGCGGGGGGUGUUUCCAAAGCAAGAUGGUUCUACAUAUACCUGGGGGCUUAUGUGAAUCCCUCAUGUGAGCACCUUGUAUUGGUCACAGAAAUGAAAUAGUAACCAAUGCAGGUGUUUAUAUGAUUUAAAUGGGUUAAAUGAGGAGGGAUAGACCCAUGAAUGCCACCUGAAGCUCUUUGGAGAAAAAGGUGGGAUAGAAACAUUAUUUUUAAAAUAGAAGGAAUCCAGUUUAUUAUUUGGCCACUGCAUUUUUGACCAGAAUCUGAGUUGUCUUCCAGGGCAGUUCCACCUAGAGGGUGAACAGGGUAGAGUUGGUCUCACCCAGCUGUGCCCACCUGGGUACUCAGUGCUGCAUCAGGCCAGACUCGAGGGUGGGGAGGGGGAGCUGCUGUGGUCUGUAGAGAUUCUCUAUCUUCAGGCUCUGUCCAGUGGGGGGUGUCUAGAGUGUGUGUUCCUGAUGUUGGGCAAUCGGGACAGAUUAGGGAUUCUGCUGGUUUACCACCCACCUUGCUACCCAGCAGUCUCCCUGCCUGAGCUGACAGAAUUGGUCUUGGAGGCAGUGUUAAGCUCUCCCAGACUGCUGGUUCUGGGAGACUUCAACAUCCACGCCAAGGCAGCUGGCUCUGGGGCGACUUCGUGGUCGCCAUGACAACCAUGGGGUGAGGGCGUGGUGCACCGUCUGUGGGGGUGUGGCACCCAGUGCGGGGGGGGGGGGCAGCUGCAAUGGCACCCUGCUGGAAUCAUGCCGCUGGGGGUGGUGCACUCCCCCCCCAAAACCCCUCUUCCUCCUCCAGUGCUUCUAGGCACAAUUCGAAGUGCAGGUUUUGACCUAUAAAGCAGCCCUGUUUAGGGAAGCUUUUAAUGUUUAAUUGAUUUUUGUAUUUUAGUGUUUUGUUGGAAGCCGCCCAGAGUGGCUGGGGAAACCCAGCCAGAUGGGCGGGGUAUAAAUAAUAAAUUAUUAUUAUUAUAUUAUUAUUAUAAAUGGCUCAGGACUGUAAUACCUCAAGGACUGCCUCUCCCCAUUUGAUCCUACCCAGACCCUGAGAUCACCUUCUAAGGCUCUCCUUCAUGUGCCUUCUCCUUGAGAGAUCCAGAGGGUGGCAACACCAAAACGGGGCCUUCUCUGCCAUGGCUUCCAGUCCAUGGAAUGUUCUCCCCAGCACCUUCCCUGGGGAAGGUCUCCUGGUGCCUUCAUUAUACACCUUUAGGUGCCAGGCAAAAAAGUUCCUUUUUAACCAGGCCUUUGGUUGAUUUGAUUGGCAACCUAUGCCCUUUAAAAAAUUUUUUGGGGGGGGGUAUUAUUUGGUUGUUUUUAUUUUGAUUAUGGAUUUUGUGGUUUUAUUUUUUGAUUUUAUUCUGUAAACCGCCUUGAGACCUACGGGUAUAGGGCGGUAUAUAAAUUCAAUGAAGAAGAAGAAUAUUGCCUUGGGUCCAAAUUUUUAAAAAGGUAAAGGGACUCCUGACUGUUAGGUCCAGUCACGAACAACUCUGGGGUUGUGGCGCUCAUCUCGUUUUACUGCCCAAGGGAGCCAACUUUUGUCCGCAGACAGUUUUCCCGGGUCAUGUGUCCAGCAUGACUAAGCCGCUUCUGGCAAAACCAGAGCAGCACACAGAAACGCCGUUUACCUUCCCGCCGGUACCUAUUUAUCUACUUACCCUUUGAUGUGCUUUCGAACUGCUAGGUUGGCAGGAGGUGGAACCAAACAAUGGGAGCUCACCCCGUUGCAGGGAUUCGAACCGCCAAGCUUCCGAUUGGCAAGCCCAGAGACUCAGUGGGUUACCCCACAGUGCCACCCACGUCCUGGGUCCAAAUUAUACCUAUUACAAAUGUUUCACUCGUCAAUCACCAUUCUGAUUUCAUUCCUUCUAAUUAUUUUCAAAAGAAUGCGGGCUGUGAUUCCUAGCAAGACUCAUUCAUGCUUGCCCAUGGAACAUUUUUCCUCUCCUGGUUGUGUAUCAGUUUUAUAACAGAACAAUGCAUUUGUUUUGUAGGAUUUUCUAGCACCUCUCAUUAGGAAAGACCAAGGGGUUUCUUCCAAUCUCUUAGAGGUGACGUGAUAACAUAGAUGGAUGAGCAAUAUUCAGCUGGCCCUGAAGCAGGAAUAGGCCUUGCCAUCAAAACUGGGCGCAAUGGUGGAUUCUGGGGAAGCUAUUUGCAGAAGAUCCUGGAUGAGGAGAACACCCUCUACUCAGAUGUGCAGAGCCAGCAACUCAGACAGGAGGCCAAAGGACCCCGAGAGAUUUGCAGCCAACUCUACCACUUUUGCCACCAGUGGCUGAAGCCAGAAAGGCACAUGAAAGCUCAGAUGUUGGACCUGGUGAUCUUGGAGCAGUUCCUGGCUGUCCUUCCUCCAGAGAUGGAGAACUGGGUGAAGGAAUGCAGAGCGGAGACCAGUUCCCAGGCAGUGGCCCUGGCCGAAGGUUUCCUCCUGAGUCAGGCAGAGGAGAGAAAGCAGGCAGAGCAGCAGGUGAGAGAGACUUCCUCUGGAAACUCCCAAGGGGCUCCAAAGAGGAGGGAGAAUAUCCCCAAAUGCUCUAGUACAGAGGUUUUCACCUUUUCUGAGUCCAUGGUUCCCUUGAUCAAGUACAUCCUUUCUGCAUGGGGAAAUGCUCUUUGAGCCUUAGAAAUCCAGUUAUGUCACCCUGUGCCUGCUGCCUCACCCCUUUUCAAACACCCUCCUUUGUGGAAUGUUCCCUCAGCCUCCUCUCCCCUCUCCUUGGGAGUCCUCCCGGUAGGGAUGGGCGAUAUCUGGUUUUCAAGCAGUUAAGUAUCACGAUAUCUCAGUAUAUCAUGAUAUAUAUCUGCCGUGGUAGAGGGCCUUGCUGGGCCUCCCCAUGGGAGCAGAGGGUCCCACCAUACCUCCUCACAGUGGCAGAGGGUGUGCUGCCUUUCCCCGCAGCAGACGAGGGCCUUGACGAGGUUCCCUGCGGCAGUGGAGGGCCUUCAGAUGUAAGGAAGUAGUAGAUUUAAUAAAAAUACUAAAUAAACUUUUCUACUCCUUCUCCCCAUUCUCUGUUUUGAAUCCAUGUUUCUCUUUCAGGGGAAGAAUCUUUUUGCAGAAAUGGGUCUUGAUUCUUCUGAGGCAGAGAAGACUCUGUUGGACGCCAGAAUGAGGCCUCUGGGUAAGGAGGAAGGAGUGUUUUCUGCGUUUUGUCACAUUCUCUUGGUUUUGAAACUAAUCUGUGAGUUCUUUACAUCUUUUAGGUGAAGACACUUGGAGUCCAGAGCUCAGGGGUGGGGG